rnacentral:snRNA from 1 species
UCUGCAGCACGCGCCUAA